rnacentral:tRNA from 1 species
CCCACUGUAGCUCAGUUGGUAGAGCAUGGCGCUUGCAACGCCAGGAUUGUGGGUUUGAUUCCCAUGGGGGGC